rnacentral:rRNA from 1 species
CACCGCCCGUCACACCAUGGGAGUUGGUUUCACCCGAACGGCAGUGCGCUAACCGCAAGGAGGCAGCUGACCACGGUGGGAUCAGCGACUGGGGUG